rnacentral:rRNA from 1 species
GUCGAAGUUUUUAAGGGCACAUGGUGGAUGCCUUGGCACUAGGAGCCGAAGAAGGACGUUGUAGCCUGCGAUAAGCCUCGGGGAGCUGGCAAACGAGCUGUGAUCCGAGGGUGUCCGAAUGGGGGAACCCGGCCGCAGUCAUGUGCGGUCACCGACGCCUGAAUGUAUAGGGCGCCUGGAGGGAACGUCGGGAAGUGAAACAUCUCAGUACCGACAGGAAGAGAUAUUCCGUGAGUAGUGGCGAGCGAAAGCGGAUGAGGCCAAACCGUAUGCGUGUCAAGCUGUCAGGCGUUGCGUGUGCGGGGUUGUGGGACCUUCCGAGAACCACUGACAUGGUUCUGACCAGUAAGAAAGUCGCGUGAUAGUCGAACCGCAUUGAAAGGCGGACCGUAGAGGGUGUGAGUCCCGUAGACGAAAUCGCGUGGCCUGGUGGAGGGGAUCCCAAGUAGCACGGGGCCCGUGAAAUCCCGUGUGAAUCCGGCAAGACCACUUGCUAAGCCUAAAUACUACCUAGUGACCGAUAGCGGAUCAGUACCGUGAGGGAACGGUGAAAAGUACCCCGUGAGGGGAGUGAAAUAGUACCUGAAACCGUGUGCCUACAAGCCGUCGGAGCCUCCCUGGUGGGGGUGACGGCGUGCCUUUUGAAGAAUGAGCCUGCGAGUUAGUGCUCGGUGGCGAGGUUAACCCGUGUGGGGAAGCCGUAGCGAAAGCGAGUCCGAACAGGGCGAUUCAGUCGCCGGGUCUAGACCCGAAGCGAAGUGAUCUAGCCAUGGGCAGGUUGAAGCGCCGGUAAGACGGCGUGGAGGACCGAACCCACUUAGGUUGAAAACUGAGGGGAUGACCUGUGGUUAGGGGUGAAAGGCCAAUCAAACUUCGUGAUAGCUGGUUCUCCCCGAAAUGCAUUUAGGUGCAGCGUCACGCGUUCCUUGCCGGAGGUAGAGCUACUGGAUGGCCGAUGGGCCCUACCAGGUUACUGACGUCAACCAAACUCCGAAUGCCGGCAAGCCAGAGCGUGGCAGUGAGACUGCGGGGGAUAAGCUUCGUAGUCGAGAGGGAAACAGCCCAGACCACCGGCUAAGGCCCCUAAGCGUGUGCUCAGUGGGAAAGGAUGUGGAGUUGCCCAGACAACCAGGAGGUUGGCUUAGAAGCAGCCACCCUUGAAAGAGUGCGUAAUAGCUCACUGGUCAAGUGAUUCCGCGCCGACAAUGUAGCGGGGCUCAAGUACACCGCCGAAGCCGUGGCGCUCACACAAGCCCAGCAGCGACUUGAUCGCUGUUCAGGCGUGUGGGCGGGUAGGGGAGCGUCGUGUGGGCGGUGAAGCCGCGGAGUGAUCCAGCGGUGGAGACCACACGAGUGAGAAUGCAGGCAUGAGUAGCGAAAGACGGGUGAGAAACCCGUCCGCCGAAUGACCAAGGGUUCCAGGGCCAGGUUAAUCCUCCCUGGGUAAGUCGGGACCUAAGGCGAGGCCGACAGGCGUAGUCGAUGGACAAGGAGUUGAUAUUCUCCUACCGGCGAAGAACCGCCCAUACCGAAUCCGGUGAUGCUAACCACCCCGAACCACCACCGACGUCCUUCGGGACGUCACCGGUGACUAGGCGUGGGACCCGAGCCGGUACUAGGUAAGCGUGUUAACAGGGGUGACGCAGGAAGGUAGCCCGGCGUGGCGAUGGUUGACCACGUCCAAGGCCGUAGCCCGCCUCGUAGGCAAAUCCGCGAGGCACNNNNNNNNNNNNNNNNNNNNNNNNNNNNNNNNNNNNNNNNNNNNNNNNNNNNNNNNNNNNNNNNNNNNNNNNNNNNNNNNNNNNNNNNNNNNNNNNNNNNAGGGUGAGAGUCGACAGAUACCGCGUAUGCGGGAAUCGGGUGAUCCUCAGCUGCCAAGAAAAGCCUCGACGCGAGGUUCUAGCCGCCCGUACCCCAAACCGACUCAGGUGGUCAGGUAGAGAAUACUAAGGCGAUCGAGAGAAUCGUGGUUAAGGAACUCGGCAAAAUGCCCCCGUAACUUCGGGAGAAGGGGGGCCUGAUCCGUGAACCCACUUGCUGGGGGAAGCGGUGAGGGCCGCAGAGACCAGGGAGAAGCGACUGUUUACUAAAAACACAGGUCCGUGCGAAGUCGCAAGACGAUGUAUACGGACUGACGCCUGCCCGGUGCUGGAAGGUUAAGAGGACGGGUCAGCUUCGGCGAAGCCCAGAAUUUAAGCCCCAGUAAACGGCGGUGGUAACUAUAACCAUCCUAAGGUAGCGAAAUUCCUUGUCGGGUAAGUUCCGACCUGCACGAAUGGCGUAACGACUUCUCCGCUGUCUCGACCACGAACUCGGCGAAAUUGCACUACGAGUAAAGAUGCUCGUUACGCGCAGCAGGACGGAAAGACCCCGGGACCUUUACUACAGCUUGGUAUUGGUGUUCGGUGCGGUUUGUGUAGGAUAGGUGGGAGACUACGAAACCGGCGCGCCAGCGCCGGUGGAGUCGCCGUUGAAAUACCACUCUGACCGCAUCGACCAUCUAACCUCGGUCCGUGAUCCGGACCAGGGACAGUGCCUGGUGGGUAGUUUAACUGGGGCGGUUGCCUCCCAAAAAGUAACGGAGGCGCUCAAAGGUUCCCUCAGCCUGGUUGGCAAUCAGGUGUCGAGUGCAAGUGCACAAGGGAGCUUGACUGUGAGACCGACAGGUCGAGCAGGGACGAAAGUCGGAACUAGUGAUCCGGCGGUGGCUCGUGGAAGCGCCGUCGCUCAACGGAUAAAAGGUACCCCGGGGAUAACAGGCUGAUCUUCCCCAAGAGUCCAUAUCGACGGGAUGGUUUGGCACCUCGAUGUCGGCUCGUCGCAUCCUGGGGCUGGAGUAGGUCCCAAGGGUUGGGCUGUUCGCCCAUUAAAGCGGCACGCGAGCUGGGUUUAGAACGUCGUGAGACAGUUCGGUCCCUAUCCGCUGCGCGCGCAGGAAACUUGAGAAGGGCUGUCCCUAGUACGAGAGGACCGGGACGGACGAACCUCUGGUAUGCCAGUUGUUCCGCCAGGAGCACCGCUGGUUCGCUACGUUCGGGAGGGAUAACCGCUGAAAGCAUCUAAGCGGGAAGCCUGCUUCAAGAUGAGGUUUCCAACAGGCCAGUCCUGUGAAGGCACCCAGCUAGACCACUGGGUAGAUAGGCCGGAAGUGGAAGACAGGACCAACGACUGUCGCAGCUGACCGGUACUAAUCAGCCGACAACUUCCAUAC